GGCCACUGCAGUAUUUUAGCCACACAGGAACACAUCCUUACAUCUACUAAGAAAAUACCUUCCUGUGCCUCUGACACAGACUUAGGGAAUAUCUCCUUUAAACAGCUAAAUGGAUCACAGAAUUUAAAGGCAUGUUUCGUCUGGUCCCUAUAAAGGGCAUUCCUGCCAGGAGGCCAAGAUCUCCCAGCAGCACCAUUGCUGCCAGGCUCCUGUUUCAGUGGCAUGGUGGAAUGGAGGCCCUGGAGGAUGCAAACUCAAAUAAACUUCCCUCAAGCAAACUGCCAUGAAGUCCCAGAAAAUUUGCCAGCUUCCUUGUCGCUCAGCCAGGUUUCUGGAGGAAAUGAGGAGUAACGAAACCUUGCUUGGAGAUCCCAGUCUAGAAGCCGGCCUCCCUUAGGGCCGGAGCUGCUCUCUGUGAACUGGGCAAUAGCCUGCUCUUAUAAAUCUGACUACAGGGAUCAGUUUCGUGAUCUGA